rnacentral:rRNA from 1 species
GACGAACGCUGGCGGCGUGCUUAACACAUGCAAGUCGAACGAUGAAGCCGGAGCUUGCUCUGGUGAAUUAGUGGCGAACGGGUGAGUAACACGUGAGUAACCUGCCCUUGACUCUGGGAUAACUGCUAGAAAUGGUAGCUAAUACCGGAUACGACCCUCGGAGGCAUCUCCAGGGGGUGGAAAGAAUUUCGGUCAAGGAGUGGACUCGCGGCCUAUCAGCUAGUUGGUGAGGUAACGGCCCACCAAGGCGACGACGGGUAGCCGGCCUGGGAGGGUGACCGGCCACACUGGGACUGAGACACGGCCCGGACUCGUACGGGAGGCAGCAGUGGGGAAUAUUGCACAAUGGGCGCAAGCCUGAUGCAGCAACGCCGCGUGAGGGAUGACGGCCUUCGGGUUGUAAACCUCUUUUAGUAGGGAAGAAGCGAAAGUGACGGUACCUGCAGAAAAAGCACCGGCUAACUACGUGCCAGCAGCCGCCGUAA